GACGAACGCUGGCGGCGUGCUUAACACAUGCAAGUCGAGCGGUAAGGCCCUUUCGGGGGUACACGAGCGGCGAACGGGUGAGUAACACGUGGGUGACCUGCCCUCAGCUCUGGGAUAAGCCUGGGAAACCGGGUCUAAUACUGGAUAUGACUCCAUGACGCAUGUUGUGGGUGGAAAGCCUUGUGCGGCUGAGGAUGGGCCCGCGGCCUAUCAGCUUGUUGGUGGGGUGAUGGCCUACCAAGGCGACGACGGGUAGCCGGCCUGAGAGGGCGACCGGCCACACUGGGACUGAGACACGGCCCAGACUCCUACGGGAGGCAGCAGUGGGGAAUCUUGCGCAAUGGGCGAAAGCCUGACGCAGCGACGCCGCGUGAGGGAUGAC
rnacentral:rRNA from 1 species